ACGGGUGAGUAAAGCGUAGGGAUCUGCCCAUUUGAGAGGGAUAGCUUAGGGAAACUUAAGGUAAUACCGCAUAAGCCCGAGAGGGGAAAGCAUGGGACUGUAAAAGGCCAUGCGCGAAUGGAUGAGCCUACGUCGGAUUAGCUAGUUGGUGGGGUAAAGGCCUACCAAGGCGACGAUCCGUAGCUGGUCUGAGAGGACGACCAGCCACACUGGGACUGAGACACGGUCCAGACUCCUACGGGAGGCAGCAGUGGGGAAUAUUGGACAAUGGGCGCAAGCCUGAUCCAGCGAUGCCGCGUGUGUGAAGAAGGCCUGCGGGUUGUAAAGCACUUUCAGUGGGGAGAAGGAAGCCUGGUUUAAUAGAUUGGGUUGAAGAUGUUACCCACAGAAGAAGCACCGGCUAACUCUGUGCCAGCAGCCGCGGUAAUGCAGAGGGUGCAAGCGUUAAUCGAAAUUACUGGGCGUAAAGGGUGCGUAGGUGGUUUAAUAAGUUAGAUGUGAAAUUCCUGGGCUUAACCUGGGGGACUGCGUCUGAUACUGUUAAGCUAGAGUACUGUAGAGGGAGGUGGAAUUUCCGGA
rnacentral:rRNA from 1 species